rnacentral:lncRNA from 1 species
UUCCUUCAUUUUCUCCAAGCAUUAAUCAAAGGUGUGAGGGCAUACUCAUUAGUAUCUCAUACGCCAGAGCCAAGUAUGUUUUUAGUUUAGAAUAAUGCACCUUGUGAUUUCCUAAAUUCCAGAGCACCCAAACAAAAACCAAUGUGAUACCUUCAUAAAUCUUUGAUAGCGAUCACCUAUAUUGGAUUAACUGUUAAAAGAGAACAAUAUCAACUUGGUCAACCAGUCACGUGCAAGCCUUCCGUUAUUCUUCAGUUAUUUUCUUUAUGUUUUAGUAAUUGUUUUGCUGAAUUAGUCAAGCUAGUGGGUAGUUUGUUUUCAUAGCCUUAUUCCUGUUUUCUAGGUAGCAGCAGUUUUCUUUUUCAGUUUUACUUCUGUUUUUAUGCUAUGUAGCUUUCGUUACUUUUGAUAUAUGCAGAAAACACUUUUGUGUGUCAGUUACUCUUUCUUCCAAAACUUGCUCUGCUUGAAACCUGUUGUAUCAAAAGGUGUUUUGUCUUUGCUAAAAGCCAACAAAGUGGUAUCAGAGCCUCGUUGUCAAUGGCUGAUUUACAAGUUGUUGGUGGAGUAAAGAAGCUUAACAAUCAGAACUAUAACACAUGGUCAACUUGCAUCAUGUCUUAUAUGCAAGGACAGGAUCUGUGGGAAGUUGUGAAAGGGACCGAAACAAAACAACCUGAGGCAGAAGAUAACAAUGGAAACCUACGAAAGUGGAAGAUCAAGGCAGGCAAGGCAAUGUUCGUCUUAAAGACAACCGUUGAAGAAGAUAUACUCGAGCAUAUCAGGGAUAUGUCGACACCAAAAGAGGCAUGGGAUACGUUGUUAGCCCUAUUCUCUAAGAAGAACGAUACAAAGCUACAGUUACUCGAGAAUGAACUCUUGUCUGUGUCUCAACGAGACAUGACAUCUCCUCAGUUCUUCCACAAGGUGAAGUCUACUUGUAGAGAAAUUACGGAGCUUGAUCCUCAGUCUCAAAUCAGUGAGACGAGGAUAAAAAGGAUCAUUAUACAUGGUCUCAAACCAGAGUUUAGAAGCUUUGUAACUGCAAUUCAAGGUUGGGCAACUCAACCCUCACUAGUUGAGUUUGAGAAUCUCUUGGCAGGACAGGAAGCCUUAGUGAAGCAGAUGGGAGGUGCCACGGUUAGGACUGAUGAUGAAGCACUUUACGCAGAGAAAAGUAAAGGGAAGUAUAAAUCACAGUCUAAAAAGAAUUCAGACAAGAGUAAGCACCAUGAACAAAGAAAGACGAGUCGUAAGUUUGAUAAAGGAGAAUCGUCUGAAGAUAAGACAAAGAGUAACCGUUCCCACAAAAGAUUCCCUUUCAGGUGUAAUAAUUGUGGGCGUAGGGGUCACAUGGCACGUGAUUGUCGUUCAGAAAACAUUGAGGAAGGAAAUGCUGCAACUUCUCAAGUAGAAGAAACAUGGGAUGCAGAAGCUUUUUAUACUCAACACCAAGAAGAUGUGGCAUUUAACGCAACAGUAGAGAGUCGUGGCAACAAAUUUGAAGAAUGGAUAGUAGAUUCUGGAUGCUAUAAUCACAUGACUGGACCAGAGCAUGAAAAGUUGCAAGAAUCCAGAAAUUAUGAAGGCAGUAAAGUAAUAGUGAUAGCUGAUAAUUCAAAGUUGUCGAUUGCUCACAUUGGCAAUGUUGUGUUUUGCCCAGAAGACAAUAACAGGGAACUAAAACUUGAAGGUGUGUACCAUGUACCAGGUAUGAAAAAGAAUCUUCUUUUUGUCUCUCAACUUGCUUAUGCUGGCCACUAUGUAUUGUUUGGCCCUGAUGAUGUGAAGAUUUAUAAAGAAUUUGUGACUCCAUCAAAGCCAAUUCUAAAAGGACGAAGAUCAGACUCAAUUUAUGUGAUGUCUGCCGAAACAACUUAUGUAGAGAAGACAAAAAGGAAUGAAAAUGUGGAUCUUUGGCACAUGCAGUUGAGUCAUGUUAGCUAUGACAAGCUUGAUUUGAUGAUCAAAAAGCAAAUGGUGAAAGGUCUCCCUCAACUUGAAGUCAAAAAGGGUUUAGUGUGUGCCGGGUGUCAAUUUGGAAAGGCUCAUCAACAACCAUUCGAACACUCAAAGUACAAGUCUAAGUUGCCUCUAGAACUUGUACAUUCUGAUGUAUUUGGACCUGUUAAGAAACCAUCUAUCAAAGGUUUGAAAUACAUGGUGACCUUUAUAGAUGAUUAUACAAGAUACGUAUGGGUGUAUUUCAUGAAGGAGAAGUCUGAAGUGUUCUGUAAGUUUCAAGAAUUCAAGAAUGAAGUUGAAAGAGAGACUGAGUAUAAUAUUGGUUGCUUAAGAUCAUAUAAUGGUGGGGAAUAUCUGACCUCUGAAUUCAGUGACUUUCUUAAGGUACACAAGAUCAAGCGUCAACUUACAUGUCCAAACACUCCGCAACAGAAUGGAGUAUCCGAAAGAAAGAAUAGACACCUGGGCGAGAUCUGUAGAAGCAUGAUUCAUGACAAGAAUGUACCAGGUCAGUUUUGGGCAGAAGCUAUGAAGACAGCAACUUAUGUGAUUAACCGAAUUCCUCAACCAAGUCUUGUUUAUUUGUCUCCCUUUGAAAAGCUUAAGAGGUUGAAGCCAAAUGUUAGUCAUCUUCGUGUCUUUGGGUGUCUAUGUUAUGUGUUCAUACCCAACCAUCUACGCAGCAAGAUGGAUAAGAAGGCUGUUCGGUGUAUCUUUGUGGGUUAUGACCAGGAAAGGAAGGGUUGGAAGUGUUGUGACCCUACCUAUGGUAGAUGCUAUGUAUCAAGGAAUGUGGUAUUUGAUGAAACUUCAUCAUGGUGGUCAACUGAUCACAAUGCUCUUCCUGAUUCUAAAACCCUAAGAGAUGAAGUAAAAUCCUCUAAAGUAAGAGUACACCUGAAUAAUGAUGAAGUCAUUAUUGAUAAUGAAGAUAUCCAAGACAAUGCUAACAAUGAAAUCAACAAUGAUAAUGAGAACCAUGAAGCCACAAGUGUCAGAAAGUCUACAAGACUUAGAAAACCUAAUCCCAGAUAUGCCAAUGCUGCUUUAGUAAAAGAAGAUGUGUGUGAACCAGAAACUUAUGAUCAAGCUGCCACUAAACGAGAAUGGGUUAUAGCAAUGGAAGAAGAAGUAGCUGGUUUAAUGAGAAACUAGACGUGGGAACUAGUUCCAAAACCUACUGAAGUGAAACCCAUCUCGUGUGAAUGGGUGUAUAAAGUGAAACGUAAUGCAGAUGGGUCAGUCGAAAGAUUUAAGGCCCGUUUGGUAGCUCAUGGCUUCUCACAGCAAUAUGGGCUGGACUACGAGGACACUUUUAGCCCAGUGGCGAAGUUAACUACAAUCAGGGUUUUGUUGGCUUUGGCAGCCAGCAAGGGAUGGAAACUUUGGCAAAUGGAUGUAAGUAAUGCAUUCCUAUAUGGAAACUUGGACCAUGUCAUUCACAUGGAACAACCUCUUGGAUUCAAAAGCAAACAGCAUCCUAAUUAUGUAUGUAAGCUCAAGAAGGCGUUGUACGAGCUUAAACAGUCUCCAAGGGCGUGGUUUGGGAAAAUUGGUGAAUUUCUUGAACACAAUGGAUACACAAGUACAUCUGCAGAUGCUAGCCUGUUUGUGAAGAAAUUUGGAAGCAAAGUAGUGAUGGUGCUUGUAUAUGUCGAUGACUUAAUAAUUACAGGUGAUUUGGAUGACAUGAUAGCUCAGCUCAAAUAGAACUUGUGCACUCGGUUCUUCAUGAAGGACCUAGGGAAAUUGAAACACUUUCUGGGGUUAGAAAUCAACUAUGAUGAUGAUGGUUUAAUUCUGCACCAACAUAAGUACUGUACUGAUCUAUUAAAGAGGUUCAAAAUGGUUGAUUGCAAGGGAGCUGUAACACCCAUGGAUAACAACGCUAAGUUGUGUGCAAACAUGGGUAAGGAGUUAGAUGAUGCAACAAUGUAUAGAAAGUUGGUGGGUAGUCUUAUAUAUCUCACUUUAACGAGACCAGACAUUGCAUUUGUAGUUGGUGUUUUAAGUCGUUACAUGCAGAGUCCAAGAAACCCCCACCUUGGGGCUGCUAGAAGGGUAUUAAGGUAUAUUAAGACUACUCUCAAUUAUGGAAUCCAGUUUAAGAGGGAAUCUGAAUGUAAGCUGAUGGGAUUUUGUGAUGUUGAUUAUGCUGGUGAUUUGAACACUCGAAGGUCAACUACAGGUUAUAUCUUCAUGCUUGGAUCCAGUAUAGUAUCUUGGUGUAGCAAGCGUCAACCCACAGUUUCUCUUUCCACAACUGAAGCCGAAUAUAGAGCUGCUGCAGUAGCAUCUCAGGAAUGUGUGUGGCUUGUGCAACUUUUAAAGGAUUUGAACCAAGAAGUUAAUUAUAGUAUUCCGCUGCUUUGUAAUAAUAUGUCAUCAAUCAAGCUUGCUCAGAAUCCUACUUUUCAUGCACGUACCAAGCACAUUGAAGUUCAUUAUCAUUUUAUCAGAGAAAAGGUCUUAAAAGGGGAAAUUGACCUUAAAUAUGUAAACACUGCUGAUCAGGUUGCAGACCUGCUCACAAAGAGUCUAUCAAGUGCAAAACUGGUUGAGUUUGGCGACAAGAUGGGUAUGGUAGAAGUUGAUGUUGAGAGGGAAUGUUAAAAGAGAACAAUAUCAACUUGGUCAACCAGUCACGUGCAAGCCUUCCGUUAUUCUUCAGUUAUUUUCUUUAUGUUUUAGUAAUUGCUUUGCUGAAUUAGUCAAGCUAGUGGGUAGUUUGUUUUCAUAGCCUUAUUCCUGUUUUCUAGGUAGCAGCAGUUUUCUUUUUUAGUUUUAUUUCUGUUUUUAUGCUAUGUAGCUUUCGUUACUUUUGAUAUAUGCAGAAAACACUUUUGUGUGUCAGUUGCUCUUUCUUCCAAAACUUGCUCUGCUUGAAACCUGUUGUAUCAAAAGGUGUUUUGUCUUUGCUAAAAGCCAACAU